AGCUGGAGUGGGACUUCCGGCUGCCGUUGGUGAAGAGCAUCAACGUGAGUGGGCACAAGUACGGCCUCGUGUACGCCGGGAUCGGGUGGUGCAUCUGGAGGAGCAAGGAGGACCUCCCAGACGAGCUCAUCUUCCACAUCAACUACCUCGGCGCCGACCAGCCCACCUUCACCCUCAACUUCUCCAAGGGUUCCAGCCAGGUUAUCGCGCAGUAUUACCAGCUGAUCCGCCUUGGUUUCGAGGUGCCAAUCCAUUUUUGUCUAAGCAUUUCUCGCUUAUAACGGCAUUUCCUUUCUGCUAUGCUAACUAUAUCUGGUGCAAUGAUGCAGGGGUACAGGAACAUCAUGGACAACUGCCAGGAGAACGCAAUGGUGCUCAAGGAGGGGCUGGAGCGCACCGGCCGGUUCAACAUCGUGUCCAAGGACCAGGGCGUCCCGCUGGUGGCCUUCUCCCUCAAGGACAGCAGCCGGCACGACGAGUUCGAGAUCUCCGAGUUCCUGCGCCGCUUCGGGUGGAUCGUGCCGGCCUACACCAUGCCCCCCGACGCGCAGCACGUCACGGUGCUCCGCGUCGUCGUCCGGGAGGACUUCAGCCGCACCUUCGCCGAGCGCCUCGUCAUCGACAUCGAGAAGGUGCUCCACGAGCUCGACGCGCUCCCCUCGCGCAGCAGCGGGCCGUCCCUGCAGCACCCCAACGGCGACACGGUGAGCGAGAAGGACCUGGCGAGGCAGCGCGAGGUGGUGUCCGUCUGGAAGAGGGCCGUCGCCGCCAGGAAGAAGACCCAGGGCGUCUGCUGAGCAGAGCUGAGGCGGUUCACCUCGCCUGCUGUCCGUGAUGAUUUUAUUUCCGUAAUAAUUUAUGCUAUGCUUCUCUUGUCCGUGACGGUUUUUAAGGGGCGGGAUUAAUAGUUCUUCUAGCUCCGUUAUUGGAUCCAUCGAGUAUUUUC
rnacentral:lncRNA from 1 species